CAGCCUCCCCCAAGCCCACCCCCACCAUCGACGACCCUCACCGUAGAUGAGGUCGAGCUCCUCCUCCCCUCUCCCUCCCACGGAUCUCUCUCGCCCCUCUCGAUCCCUCUCGAAGCUCCCGCAUCCCAUCCUUCUACUCCCAAACUCCGCGGCCCGGAUCAGAUUCCUUGAAUUAUGAUGUACCAGAUCGAAGCGGAGUGGGGGCGGGAGCGAGCUCGUUGGUGCUGGGCGGCCGCUCCUCCCGCCUUCGUCGAUGACCACCUACUCCCGCCUAAUGGUUGUUACUAGUAGUAUCCGAUACAAUCCAGCAGCGGCCAUGCCGCCGAGGGGAGGAUCCACUCCAGCAUCUUCCAUGUCGCCCCAGGCUAGUGCGGCCCUGGCCAUGGCAGGAGGGGAGGAGCCCGAAACUCCGACGGCCGGCUCCCGCGCCGCUCCGUCUCCUUCCUCAAGCUCCAAGGACGGAAGCGCGCCUUGGUCCAUCUCCAUCUCCGGUGAGGACGACUGAAGCCCGCCAUGGAAGCUCCCUUCCAGAUCCACCAUGGGAGAGCAAGGAUGCGGGAGCUCCCUCUACUUCCCCUCCUGUGUCGUCAAGCUUCAGUUUCAUCUCUGCUUUCCAAUUUCAUUUGCAGCAGCAGCAACAGCCAUUGGUAUGGUACAACAGGCAACAGAGGAAGAUGGACAGCUGAAUCACCAUUCUUCUCGACACAGCAGCAAGACUUCUUAGUUCAGUUUCUACCAUUGGAUAUUUCAUUGUCACACUGCUUGCUUGCUUCUUCACAAGAGGAAGACCGUGGAUGGAUGGAUGGGUGGAUACAUGCAUACAACAGGGAAAAAAUCAGCUUCCUUUCAAGUUAAGAUACUACUAGUAACAACCAUUAGUCGUCUCAUCAUCGAUUGAAUCUCCUGUUCAUCCAGAUCGACACGGCCGCGCGCGACCACGCAGCGUCUGCGGCGCUGCUGAAGGAGCUCCUGGCGCAUCUGAAGUUUAUGGAGGCCUGGGGGUGGCCAAUCGGCUUGACCUCGUGGGGCCCAUCGUCUAGCAGCCCGAGUACAACCUCUUCUCCCGCCACAAGAUAGUUGCGACUCCUUUAUAAUUGACAUGCUUAUUGUUUCUCAAUGAAGAUAGUACAAGCAGACGGGCGGUCUGAACUGAUGCCAUGUUGAUAUGUCUGCAUCAUCUGUGCUUACCCUUGUGGAUAGCAUCUGAGAGAAAACAAGAUCUUUCAUUUUCAGCAAUAGGUGUUUGUUCUCUAAUUCUCAUAUUUGUGCCAUAGUUUGUAUUCUUCCUAGUAGUUAGAUGGGGUUAAAUUUUUAACUUGACUCCAAGAUCCAAUCCAAUGGGGUCAUAGUGGGCAUGGGUAGGGCGAUGGUUUACUUAUUAACCCUUUGAAGUGUUUGCCAUUGCCCUGGAGUCAAAUGGUCUGACCGAGAUUCUCAGUUUUGGACAAUCUUCAAAUUCUUUUGACUCUUCCUACUUGUAUAUCCUUACACAAUCAAUAAAAAAUUCCAAGUGAACAAA